GUUAUGUACUGUCAAGCUUAACAUGACAUUUGGCCAUUGCUUUGCAGCUCACCUGAAAGCCGAGGCACAGUAUUGCAUUAAAGGUUGGGUAUUGAAUUCGCUUUUUUGGCAAUUUUUGCAAAAUUACUUGAAAUCCUUAUCAUAACCCACUUACAGCAACUGAGUUAGAAGUACUGAAAUGAAAAUUAAACAAGUCAAUCAUCUGUGGAACGGGCAGGGCUCGAAAAACUCCAGCCAAUGAUUUCCAGAGCCACCGAGUUGCAUUGGACAGUAAGUACGUCAAUCAAACGGUCGCACUGCACUCCCCCGCUCCCCGCGCGACCCCUUCGUGCUGGGACUCAAACCUCGUGACCCAGAGCAAGCUUCUGUUUGUUGUUAUCCUGCGGUAGCUACUGGAGCUAGCUAACUAGCUAAUGGCUCGCUCUCGCGCAUCUGUGUUCACUUGUACUUGGAAUGGGUGGAGUCAGAGUCAGCGUUGAAGGAGAGGGGGUAGGACCAUUUGAGUUGUGUAUUUUCAAAAUCUGCU